ACAGCCUGCUGGGAAGCUGCAGAUGGGCAGGGUCUGCAGCUGCGCAGAGAAUGAAAUGGAUGGUCCAACACAGACAAGGCCGACCACUCCACCGGAUGAAAGCCUUGUCAGAGCAAAUCUGUAGGUAACUAUGUUUUUUAUUGGCCUAUUAUUUGUAAAGAAUUUUAGGAAACAAAGGGAAUUGCUACAUAUUGUUUUUUUUUUAAUUUAAUCGUUCUUAAAGAAUAAAUGUCUGGCCCUUUUAAGAGAUCUGUUUGAUGCAUGUCCAAAAGCUAGGACCUGUUUGGGUUUUGGUGUGUAUCUCGCUAUUUUUGCAUGUUUCUUUUAUGCAAAUUAUUAAACUAAUAGUAUUCCUAUAAAAGCUACAUUAUAUUUAUUUAUUUAGGUUUCUAAAGUAGGUUAUUUAAAUUAAAUUAUUCCUUGAGAAGUUCAUUUGUAUAUAUAAUGUUUUUAGAUUAUGUUUAACCCUAAACCUUCCAAGUUCCUCCCUGCCCCCACUGUGCCCUUCCCAAUUCUCUUCCUGCCCCCAAAUAAAGUACUGAAUCCUGUUAGUGUUCCUUGAUGUACAUUCUUGAGUCAUGAAAAGCUACACCUAACCGCAGCCCUGAAGAAAAGUUACAUUAUUUUGCCUAGCAGCCAUCAGUGGUCAGUCUGAGAGUCAGACAGCACACAAUCUCAGAUGUGGUUAUAGCCUUGAAUCGUUAGCUUUGUGUGUUUGGCUUAGAUUUGUGGCAGAAACCACGAAAUGGGGCUAUUUGGAGUGGCAUUAAGAGGAGUUUACCAGAACACAGGUAUUCUUUCACCUUUUGGGGGAAUUUCUAUAAGUUUAUAAUUGUUCAUACAUACAUACAUAUAUACAUACCUUAAUUAUACUUAAUUGGAUCUGUUUCUUUUGAGUUCAUAGGAAGAAAAAUUAGAUACUAAUUUAGGUCUGCUUUCUUUUCUAACCUGCAUUUUAACGUUUAGAUUUUACCUAAAAUUCUGAUGCUAUAAGGGGACUGAGGCUAAUAUUGUUGGUUUUCUGCUAAAGACUAAAAUCUAUCAUUUCUUUACAGAUUACCAGUUCCUUUUCAUUGGAAAGAGAAUUCUUUUCACAUCAACUAUAUUCAAGUCUACAACAGGUUAAACGUGACCAUGUUUAUGAUCAACUUCAAUAGAGCAUGAAUAGUCUACCUCAUUUUGUUUGAUUAUACAUAGCCUCUUUAUCAGUGAGAAAUAUGAGUUCAUUGAUUUGAGAAAUCAAUAUAAAAAUUGUAUGCAGGGUGGUUUCAAAAUCAUACUGAGGAAGCAACAUUUCUAAUUGCAGUUUUCUCAGACAACCCUUUUGUCAUUUGGGGAGGGAAUGUCCAGUUAUUUUUUAAGCUACCUGGGUAAGAUUCCUUUCCUCACUACUUUCAGAAAUCAGGCUUUUUACGUACAUUCAAAAAGGAGGUAUGCUGUUUUGUCCAUAUUACUUCACAGGGUAACCCAACUUACUGUUUACUGUGUACAAAGUGUAGGAUUAAUCUUUAUGCUAAAAAAUGUAUACAAUUUUAAGACAAGACCAUGGAAGUGCUUUAGUGCAUUACAGUAAUUAUCUUCAUCUUACCCAUGAAACCUUUCAUGACCCAAGUGACCUUGUAGUUAUUAAUAAUUAUAUUGGUUUAUUACUCCUGCACAACACCCUUUUCACAGUGUUACAUACACGAGGUUUCGAUUUUUUUCUACCCCAUCUUUUUAUUUAGUUCUGUGCCUCUUGUAUAAUAAAGUACAUUUCGUGGCAGUUAGGCAUGUAGUUGCCUAAGGAUGGAAAGUAUUGAGAAAUUAUGAUAUUCUAAUAAGAUAUCCCUGUAGGUACUGUGGAGAAAGGUGUACUAAAAUUCUCACGUUAAUUAAGACUGUUUUCCCUUCCUUUUUAGUUGUAAUAUAUUUUAUAUAUGCUAGUAAACACAUCUAUAUUCUAUACUCAGGGAUCACACUUUAUUCCAUUGAUUGAGAUAUAUAUGUUUAUUUCACACUAUAUUUUGUUUCUAGUAUUAUUUUUGUUUGUUUUCUUGCUGCUAAUUUAGAUGUUAAUGUUUUGUUCCAGUUUAUAAUCUCUUGUGGGCAGAAGAUGACAGAACUGACAUACUACAGAGGAAGGUAUGAAGAGUUACAGCGAGCAAGUAUGGGCCAUUCUCUCAGGUAUUUCUGCAGAAGCCACCCAUUAUAAGUGCACCAAACUUAUGUAUCAUUGGUAAGAAUUGCUCACAUGUGUUUAUACAUUAUGGCCGUUUUAAAGCAUAGAUUAACCCAUAAUGUUCAAGAGAGAGCCUCCUUGUUUUUCUUUUAAAUUCAUUUGUUUUGAUUUCGUGCAUAUAAUUAUUUUGUCUAUAUUUUUUUUUGUUGUUGUUGUUUUCUUUUGGGCAACACUUCCAUUCCUGGUAGCUGCUGUGGCCAGAAGAUGAUACUGAAUUUCUGAGAGCUGGAGUCAAGGGUGAUUGUGAGUUACCAUGUGGGUGCUGACAAAGGAACACAAGUCCUUUGGAAGUGCUCCUAAUCCAAGCCAUAUCACGAGACAGAGUCACCUUAGCUUUGUUGUUGUUGUUGAUGAUGAUGUUGUUGUUGUUUUUGACACAGAGUCUCUCACAGGGACCUGAGUUUCACAGAUUUGACUGCCUGACCAGGGACCUCCAGGGACAUGGAAUUCUUGACUUUCCAGUGUUUGCUAGGACUGAAGAUGUGUACCACCAUCACCCCACGGUUGUAAGGAAGCCAUACGUGUCUGACUGAAAAAUGGAUUACUUAGAUAAGGAUGACCCUUGAAGAACAAUCUUGCUUUGGGUUGAGAUACUUCAGUUAUGAAGACCACUUAGCCAGAGGCAGAACUACAGAAGGAAAAAGCAAGAUCUACCUGAGGACCAAGCUAUGUCACUCUUUGGAAUAUACC
rnacentral:sRNA from 1 species